rnacentral:lncRNA from 1 species
GCCAAAGGAAGAACACUGGUGUGUCUGGCAUGUGUGGGAUGAGUUGCUGAAGGCCAGCUCGGCACCAGACAACAGGAGGGUGUAGGAGAUGGAGGAAAAAAAGCCCAGAAAGGGGCUGUUUGCUGGCAUGAAGCUGAAGAAGAAGAAAAAAGGCGAGAAAGGGCUGACUAUUGCAAACAAAGAUGCAUUAGGUGAUCAUGAUGAAACGGCAAAUUUCCUCCAUGACACUCUUGGGAGACAGGAAGAGGUAGAAGAAGACCUGAUGAACAGUGAUGCUCUGUCCAGUGCUUUUGGAUCCUUAAGCCCAAAUGCGAAAAGGUGCUCCUUCAUGUAUAUAAUGUAACACCCCCUAAACACCUUUUCCACCCUUCCUGAGAAGGG